GCCGAAGUGGCGGAAUUGGCAGACGCAGCAGACUCAAAAUCUGCCGUCAGCGAUGGCGUGCCGGUUCGAGUCCGGCCUUCGGCACCA
rnacentral:tRNA from 2 species